rfam:Gossypium raimondii Chr08_contig_639, whole genome shotgun sequence.
AAUCCAUGCAUCGGACAUUUUUGAAUUAAAUCUUUAAAUCACCACCAAGCAUCAUAUAAUGUUUCAUCCUCUAAUUAUCGAAAAGAUGUGAUGUCAUUUCUAAGCUU